rnacentral:rRNA from 1 species
AUUGAACGCUGGCGGCAGGCCUAACACAUGCAAGUCGAACGAGUGGCGGACGGGUGAGUAAUGUCUGGGAAACUGCCCGAUGGAGGGGGAUAACUACUGGAACCGGUAGCUAAUACCGCAUACCAUCGGAUGUGCCCAGAUGGGAGUGGCUAGUAGGUGGGGUAACGGCUCACCUAGGCGACGAUCCCUCGCUGGUCUGAGAGGAUGACCAGCCAAACGGGAACUGAGACACGGACCAGACUCCGACGGGAGUCAGCAGUGGGGAAUAGGGCACAAUGGGCGCAAGCCUGAUGCAGCCAUGCCGCGUGUAUGAAGAAGGCCUUCGGGUUGUAAAGUACUUUCAGCGUGGAGGCGGUACUCGCAGAAGAAGCAUCGGCUAACUCCGUGCCAGCAGCCGCGGUAAUAC